rnacentral:lncRNA from 1 species
AUGCAGACCCAGCAUGUAAUUGACCCUGCACAAAGGCUCCCCAGCCCCUUCUCGCGCCACAGGUCACCAACUCCUUCUCACACGCGGCACCCAAGAGCUAGGAGCUACAAACAUGCAUACCUGCAACACCCUACCCUCUGUAGCUCAUCAAAGACACAUUUAAAACAUCAAAGUCAAGCAGUCUCUCUGUUUGCACGCACUUCCUCCAAAUCAUUUGCCACAGCUCAACUUCAGCCCACGUAUCAGAACAGGCAUGUCCUGCCCCAUCAACCUAGAGAGCCUCAGCCCGCCUGGCAUACUCCUGCCUGUCCUACGGCAUGUCUCCUAGCUUGCCGACACCACGCUCUCAUAUCCAGACAUCGGUCCUCUGCACCAGUGGCCAGCUCCAGCCUGCUAGGCUAUCACCUCCCCACCCCAAACAAACAUAUAAGAUACACCAAAGUCUGCCAGCUUAAUGCCUUUCCCAACUGCAAUCAGGCUGCCCCACAUCCCAUCAGCACAGCCCCUCGUGCAAAUACGGACACUGAGGGCACAAGCCCUUUCCGCUGCAGCAGCUCUUUUCCACACGCAUACAGCAAGGCCCACCCAAAUCCCACCCAGAAGGAAGCCCCACAGAGCAAGGGCCUCCCCUCCUCUUUUCUGCCUCAUCCCACUCUUUCNNNNNNNNNNNNNNNNNNCUCCUCCACACGCUGGAAAACCCUCUCCCACGUCCCAUGGCCUCCACCCAUCCAUCCCAAGGGCUUCCCCAAGAGACAGGCCCUACUCCAGUCACCCCAGGGCUUCUCCUUCCCCUCUCGCAAGCCUUCCCCCACAGCACAUCACCCCAUUUGCCCCAAAGGCCCUCCUCAUGCACAAAUUCCUAGAGCCUCCCACUACUGGGAAUCAUCCCUGCAGACACUCAGCAAUUACAACCCUGAUGCAGCCCCCCCCCAUAUCUGCAGGGCCUCAUCUCUCCCCUGUAAGACCAAUCCCCUCAAAUUCUCCCCAAGAGGGAGGGACUAG